CAUUCCCUCUGCAAAUCCAUACUGUCAUGCCUAUUCCCCAAUAUCGCCAACGCGGGUAGUUCGUUAGGCGAAAAUACUGAAUAAUUAAACAAACCAAAUGGCAUCACCGGUGGUUCUUUUUUCCACUCCGCUAAACUGUCAUCUCAAACAAAAACAAAUGGAUCAUACAACUGCAAUGAAUACAUUCGACUCAUUUGCUUCCAUCAAUCGGUAAGUGAGAAAGAUGAUUUCUCCCAUCACCACAGUGCGGAUUUCCACUUCUAUCACAGCAGCCAACAACAUCCGUUUUCCUGCAGCAGUAACCUCCAACCCCUGUUGGCAAUGCCGGGGGACAGCAUUAACAGCAGCAGCAGCAGAAUUUGACCAUGGUAUGGUAUUGCGAAGAACUUUCCCCAUUAGAGGUUCCGUGCUUCGCGCACAUUCAAAAAUCCUCUUCAGACAUGAAAACUCAACGACAAGGAGGCAUUUAUCAACUUGCUCAGCUGAAUUACCACCCGGAGGAACCCGAAUGCACUGAUUCCGUUGUAUAGUAGAAUGAAAAUAGGCGAAGUAAGCGAACGUAAUCGCAUGAUAUUUUAAUGUUCGCAUUUUUAUCCGGAUCAUACAACUGCUAUGAAUACAUCCGACUCAAUCAAUCGGCGAAUGAGAAAGAUGAUUUCCCUCAUCACCACAUUGCUUAUUUCCACUUCUGUCACACCAGCCAACAGCAUCAGCUUUCCCGCAGCAGUAUCCUGGGUGCUAUUCCGGGGAACAGCAUCAACAGCAACAGCAGCAGGAUAGUAUUUCGAGCAAUUUUCCCUAUCGGAGAUCCCGUGCUUCACGCACAUUGAAGAAUCCUCCUCAGCCACAUAUCUGUGUCAUCAAGGGCAAGGAGGUAUUCAUCAAUGUACUCAGUCGGAUUUGAAUCGUCAAUCCAGACAACCCGGAUGCACCGAUUCGAUUAUAUACCUUAUUUUUAUUAUACAUGGAUUUUUAUUUUUUUUUUCAA